rnacentral:rRNA from 1 species
UACGAAGGGGGCUAGCGUUGUUCGGAAUUACUGGGCGUAAAGCGCACGUAGGCGGGUUGUUAAGUCAGGGGUGAAAUCCUGGAGCUCAACUCCAGAACUGCCUUUGAUACUGGCGACCUAGAGACUGGAAGAGGUUAGUGGAAUUCCCAGUGUAGAGGUGAAAUUCGUAGAUAUUGGGAAGAACACCAGUGGCGAAGGCGGCU